GACCUCGAAUCAGGUAGGAAUACCCGCUGAACUUAAGCAU
rnacentral:rRNA from 1 species